rnacentral:rRNA from 1 species
CCUACGGGAGGCAGCAGUGGGGGAAUCUUGCGCAAUGGGCGAAAGCCUGACGCAGCCAUGCCGCGUGAAUGAUGAAGGUCUUAGGAUUGUAAAAUUCUUUCACCGGGGACGAUAAUGACGGUACCCGGAGAAGAAGCCCCGGCUAACUUCGUGCCAGCAGCCGCGGUAAUACGAAGGGGGGCUAGCGUUGCUCGGAAUUACUGGGCGUAAAGGGAGCGUAGGCGGAUAGUUUAGUCAGAGGUGAAAGCCCAGGGCUCAACCUUGGAAUUGCCUUUGAUACUGGCUAUCUUGAGUAUGGGAGAGGUUAGCGGAACUCCGAGUGUAGAGGUGAAAUUCGUAGAUAUUCGGAAGAACACCAGUGGCGAAGGCGGCUAACUGGCCCAUUACUGACGCUGAGGCUCGAAAGCGUGGGGAGCAAACAGGAUUAGAUACCCUGGUAGUCCACGCCGUAAACGAUGAGUGCUAGUUGUCGGCAUGCAUGCAUGUCGGUGACGCAGCUAACGCAUUAAGCACUCCGCCUGGGGAGUACGGUCGCAAGAUUAAAACUCAAAGGAAUUGACGG